AUACGGAGGGGACAAGCGUUAUUCGGAAUCACUGGGCGUAAAGGACGCGUAGGCGGGGUAUUAAGUCGGGUGUGAAAUCCAAUGGCUCAACCAUUGAACUGCAUUCGAAACUGAUAACCUAGAGUAUGGAAGGGGCAGGUGGAAUUAGUGGUGUAGGGGUAAAAUCCGUAGAUAUCACUAGGAAUACCGAAAGCGAAGGCGACCUGCUGGGACAUUACUGACGCUGAGGCGUGAAAGCGUGGGGAGCAAACAGGAUUAGAAACCCUGGUAGUCC
rnacentral:rRNA from 1 species